GACGGGGCCGCACAAGCGGUGGAGCAUGUGGUUAAUUCGAAGCAACGCGAAGAACCUUACCAGGUCUUGACCAUCCCCUGAACAACCCAAGAGAUUGGGCGUUCCCCUUCGGGGGACAGGGUGACAGGUGGUGCAUGGUUGUCGUCAGCUCGUGUCGUGAGAUGUUGGGUUAAGUCCCGCAACGAGCGCAACCCUCGCCUCUAGUUGCCAGCAUUCGGUUGGGCACUCUAGAGGGACUGCCGGCGACAAGUCGGAGGAAGGUGGGAUGACGUCAAAUCAUCAUGCCCCUUAUGACCUGGGCUACACACGUGCUACAAUGGGCGGUACAAAGGGCUGCGAACCCGCGAGGGGGAGCGAAUCCCAAAAAGCCGCUCUCAGUUCGGAUUGCAGGCUGCAACUCGCCUGCAUGAAGCCGGAAUCGCUAGUAAUCGCAGGUCAGCAUACUGCGGUGAAUACGUUCCCGGGCCUU
rnacentral:rRNA from 1 species